CAACUUUUAGCAAUGGAUCUCUUGGCUCUCGCAUCGAUGAAGAACGCAGCGAAUUGCGAUAUGUAAUGUGAAUUGCAGAAUUCAGUGAAUCAUCGAAUCUUUGAACGCACCUUGCGCUCUUUGGUAUUCCGAAGAGCAUGCCUGUUUGAGUGUCAUUG
rnacentral:rRNA from 1 species